rnacentral:rRNA from 1 species
GACGAACGCUGGCGGCGUGCCUAAUACAUGCAAGUAGAACGCUGAAGGAGGAGCUUGCUCUUCUGGAUGAGUUGCGAACGGGUGAGUAACGCGUAGGUAACCUGCCUGGUAGCGGGGGAUAACUAUUGGAAACGAUAGCUAAUACCGCAUAACAGUAGAUGUUGCAUGACAUUUACUUAAAAGGUGCAAUUGCAUCACUACCAGAUGGACCUGCGUUGUAUUAGCUAGUUGGUGGGGUAACGGCUCACCAAGGCGACGAUACAUAGCCGACCUGAGAGGGUGAGCGGCCACACUGGGACUGAGACACGGCCCAGACUCCUACGGGAGGCAGCAGUAGGGAAUCUUCGGCAAUAGACGGAAGUCUGACCGAGCAACGCCGCGUGAGUGAAGAAGGUUUUCGGAUCGUAAAGCUCGGUUGUAAGAGAAGAACGAGUGUGAGAGUGGAAAGUUCACACUGUGACGGUAUCUGACCAGAAAGGGACGGCUAACUACGUG